GGGAGGCCCUUCGGGUCGCGGUUCGUCGGGUCCUGGUAGUCAAGCAUGUCGUAGAGGGUGGAGAUCUCGCGGUCGGGGUCCGCAAUGAUAGGGAACUGGACGUUGGUUGGGCCGUACUGGGCACCCCAGUCGUUGAUGUCCUCGACCCACUUCUCGUGGUCGCUCAGGCCGUUCGCAGAGAUACCGAUGAGUUUCACAUUGCGCUUCUCGAAAUCAGGCGCCCUCCGUGCGACCUCAGCA
rnacentral:misc_RNA from 1 species